rnacentral:tRNA from 1 species
GGGGACAUAGCUCAGUUGGUAGAGUGCUUGCCUUGCAUGCACAAGGACCUGGGUUCAAUCCCCAGCACCA